rnacentral:rRNA from 1 species
GAUGAACGCUGGCGGCGUGCUUAAUACAUGCAAGUCGAGCGAGGACCACUCGGUGGCAACACCGGGUGGCUCUUAGCGGCGAACGGGUGAGUAACACGUGGGCAACCUGCCCCCGACACUGGGAUAAGCCCGGGAAACUGGGUCUAAUACCGGAUACGAGCCUUUUCCGCAUGGUGGAGGCUGGAAAGGGUCUCCGGUCGGGGAUGGGCCCGCGGCUUAUCAGCUUGUUGGUGGGGUAACGGCCCACCAAGGCGACGACGGGUAGCCGGCCUGAGAAGGUGAACGGCCACACUGGGACUGAGACACGGCCCAGACUCCUACGGGAGGCAGCAGUAGGGAAUCUUGCGCAAUGGGCGAAAGCCUGACGCAGCGACGCCGCGUGCGGGACGAAGGCCCUCGGGUUGUAAACCGCUUUCAGCAGGGACGAAGCGAAAGUGACGGUACCUGCAGAAGAAGGUCCGGCCAACUACGUGCCAGCAGCCGCGGUAAGAC